rnacentral:rRNA from 1 species
UGGGGAAUAUUGCGCAAUGGGCGGAAGCCUGACGCAGCGACGCCGCGUGGGGGAUGACGGCCUUCGGGUUGUAAACCUCUUUCGACCUCGACGAAGCCUUUGGGUGACGGUAGGGGUGGAAGAAGCACCGGCCAACUACGUGCCAGCAGCCGCGGUAAUACGUAGGGUGCGAGCGUUGUCCGGAAUUAUUGGGCGUAAAGAGCUCGUAGGCGGUGUGUCACGUCGGCCGUGAAAACCUGCAGCUUAACUGUGGGCGUGCGGUCGAUACGGGCAUCACUGGAGUUCGGCAGGGGAGACUGGAAUUCCUGGUGUAGCGGUGAAAUGCGCAGAUAUCAGGAGGAACACCGGUGGCGAAGGCGGGUCUCUGGGCCGAUACUGACGCUGAGGAGCGAAAGCGUGGGGAGCAAACAG